AUCAAUUCCACAGGACACCAACCCAGGGGAGGUAAGAGUAUCUCAGAACCUCAGGACACCCUUCCAUGACUCCAGCUUCCCAAGUGCAGUGAGAGAAAGAGACCGGGAGCCUUUUUCUACUCAGAGGUCUCAGCUGGUUGCCAAGGACACCGUGAGCAGAGGCCGGUGCACAUUUUGCUUGAGGAAGGGAGAUUCUCUUUCCUCUCUCGCUUCUACUGGGCUGGAAGCAGCGGCAGGAGUGCACCUAGGCAAGGGAUGACAUCACCAGUAAGCUGAAAGGAUCUGCUCCAGACCAGCUGCAAUGCAGAUCAUCUGGCACCAAGUUGGCUCAGAAAAUAACUGCGGAUGACAAGUGCCGGAAGAACAGCUGUUGCCAACAAAAGUGGCCUGGUUAUGAAACACCUAUUACCUUCGAAGUCUUGGAUUAGUGAUUCAUUUCUUGCAUGUUAUACCAAGAGGGGUAACAUGGACAGGGCCGCUCCAGUCCCUGAAGACACCCAUAGGAGCAGGAGAGUGGGUCUGCCCACGGUUGGCAUGAUAUAGCUGCUCGGGACUAAACGCUGCCCGGUGAGGCAGUGGCCCGGGGGCUGCAGGGAAGCACAGGUGUGAGUUCAGACUAGGGAAUCUGCAUCCAGCUGGCAAGAAGGGAAGGGCCUGGCUUCAGCAAGUGCUCGAAUGACACUGAGCAAGAAGAACGCACGUAAUUCGUGCAAGGAGAACCCAGCCUCCCACGACGCCGGUGGAUACUGAAAAUAAAACCCCACAGCAAACAAAACCCAGGCUCGUAACAAUGCAGCUUCACUUCUCCUGAUUUCUUUCUGGCUUUCUGGCAACAUCUUAUUUGAGGCUAAUUAUUCUCCCAUUCACCCAGCCUUUUAAUGUCUGAAGGCAAGGCAGAGAUGAGGUGUGUGCCAACCAGCCUUUUGAUAAUUCCGGGGACUCUGGCUUGCCAAGUGGCUUUGCAAAAAUCUAAAUUUAUACUCAUCCCAUGACCUGCUCUGCUCCUCCAAAACCUCAUGCUGUCUCCUUUCAGCAGAAGUAGAACCACCAGGGAGGGUUGCCUAGACACUGUCUUCCUUCUCCUGAGCACUCAACACUUGUAGGAUAGCCUCCUCAGAGAAGAGCGGAUAUUUACUGUUGAACUGGAUAUCUACUGUGCACUGGACAGUGUUAGGGGUCCCAUUCAUAUCACUCUGCUCGGGGUGGGGAGGGAAACUCAACCCAUCCUCCUCCAAGGAGACCCGGUGAGGACAGCCAGGCGUGGAGGCAGGAGACGCUGCUGAAGACCUCUGGUUCCAGCCACAGUCAUGCUUAAGACCACCCUCCACACGUUUGUACGAGCCUCAUGUAUGAAGGAACUGACAGAGGAACCCAGGUGUGAAGAACUCGGGGCGUAGAUCUCCAAGCCUGCUUGAAUUGGGACUGGGGCCUCCUCUACCCAGAUCCCCCAUCUUCCAGUAUGUAGGCGUUACAUCCACCAACAGCCCCCGUGUAAUCCCAUCAACGGCCAAGACCCAGAGACUAUAAAACCCAGCUCCUGGAAGUGCAACAUCUUAUUAUCUAGUUCUUACUCUGGAGAACCUGGCAGGUUACCAAAAGUAUCCUACCCACACAGCAGAGUCUGGCAAACUCCCUGUGACGUAUUCAAUAUGCCAAAAACCAGUAACAAUGAUGGGUCUCAUUCUCCUGACCCUGAAAGAGCCUUGAAUGUGGCACUUUUUAAAAUCUCAGGACUAGGAUGGAGACGUUACUGGGGCCUGCUCGAGGCAAUUGAUGAACAACAGGAUGACAGUGAUACAGUGAUUCCUAUCACAAUCAGAUCUGAAGCAUCACAGUCCUAUUCAGGAUGUCGAGUAAGUGAAUA